AAUCACUUCUCUACUCGAGUUAGUGACACACUGGCCCCCAUAUGACUUCAUAAGGAAAGCCAGUAGCCAGCAUAUCGGACUAUCGCAGCUUCUGAAUAGCCAGAGUACAGGAACUUUAUACCAUACUUACAUAUCAGAGGUAUCAUUACAAACUAAAAAGCAGUAUUCAUCCAUCUGGUAUUCCAAGACUCACUUAAGUUCAAAAUGCAGAUGCAGUUGGAGAUAUUGAUAGACGUGAGCAGAGCCAAUGAGUGCCGUGUCCUUGAAUCACUUCCUGGAGGAGAGCCAGACACCAGAGAAUGGAAUGCGUUGGAGGAGCUACAGAGUGAAAUGUUAAGAGCAGCUGGACCCUUGGCUCUGCCUGUGAUCAGAGACAGGGAAGGUAUGGGAGCAAUUCCCUUCCCAACUCCUGGUCACCACAGCUUCGUAAUCCUUGCUGCCUCUGCUUUUCAUGCUUGGGCUAUUG
rnacentral:lncRNA from 1 species